rnacentral:tRNA from 1 species
AAAUAGGUAGCUUAAAUUUAAAGCUAGGCAUUGAAGCUGCCUCUAUAGAGUUCUCUCUCCUGUUUA